AAACAAGCCCUUCGGGCUCUUGGUGAAUCAUAAUAACUUAACGAAUCGCAUGGCCUUGCGCCGGCGAUGGUUCAUUCAAAUUUCUGCCCUAUCAACUUUCGAUGGUAGGAUAGUGGCCUACCAUGGUGGCAACGGGUAACGGGGAAUUAGGGUUCGAUUCCGGAGAGGGAGCCUGAGAAACGGCUACCACAUCCAAGGAAGGCAGCAGGCGCGCAAAUUACCCAAUCCCGAUACGGGGAGGUAGUGACAAUAAAUACUGAUACGGGGCUCUUUUGGGUCUCGUAAUUGGAAUGAGAACAAUUUAAAUCCCUUAACGAGGAACAAUUGGAGGGCAAGUCUGGUGCCAGCAGCCGCGGUAAUUCCAGCUCCAAUAGCGUAUAUUAAAGUUGUUGCAGUUAAAAAGCUCGUAGUUGAACCUUGGGUCUGGCUGGCCGGUCCGCCUCACCGCGAGUACUGGUCCGGCUGGACCUUUCCUUCUGGGGAACCCCAUGGCCUUCACUGGCUGUGGGGGGAACCAGGACUUUUACUGUGAAAAAAUUAGAGUGUUCAAAGCAGGCCUUUGCUCGAAUACAUUAGCAUGGAAUAAUAGAAUAGGGACGUGCGGUUCUAUUUUGUUGGUUUCUAAGGACCGCCCGUAAUGAUUAAUAGGGGAUAGUCGGGGGCGUCANUAUUCANCUGUCAAAAGGUUGAAAUUCUUGGAUUUUUCCUUGAAAAACUAAACUACUGGCCAAAAACCAUUUCACCCAAAGGGAAUGUUUUUUCCUUUUAAAUCAAGGG
rnacentral:rRNA from 1 species